GGGCGCACGGUGGAUGCCUUGACACUAGGAGUCGAUGAAGGACGGGACUAACGCCGAUAUGCUUCGGGGAGCUGUAAGUAAGCUUUGAUCCGAAGAUUUCCGAAUGGGGAAACCCACCAUACGUAAUGGUAUGGUAUCCUUAUCUGAAUACAUAGGGUAAGGAAGACAGACCCAGGGAACUGAAACAUCUAAGUACCUGGAGGAAGAGAAAGCAAAUGCGAUUUCCUGAGUAGCGGCGAGCGAAACGGAACAUAGCCCAAACCAAGAGGCUUGCCUCUUGGGGUUGUAGGACAUUCUAUACGGAGUUACAAAGGAACGAGGUAGACGAAGCGACCUGGAAAGGUCCGUCGUAGAGGGUAACAACCCCGUAGUCGAAACUUCGUUCUCUCUUGAAUGUAUCCUGAGUACGGCGGAACACGUGAAAUUCCGUCGGAAUCUGGGAGGACCAUCUCCCAAGGCUAAAUACUACCUAGUGAUCGAUAGUGAACCAGUACCGUGAGGGAAAGGUGAAAAGCACCCCGGAAGGGGAGUGAAAGAGAUCCUGAAACCGUGUGCCUACAAAUAGUCAGAGCCCGUUAACGGGUGAUGGCGUGCCUUUUGUAGAAUGAACCGGCGAGUUACGAUCCCGUGCGAGGUUAAGCUGAAGAGGCGGAGCCGCAGCGAAAGCGAGUCUGAAUAGGGCGUUUAGUACGUGGUCGUAGACCCGAAACCAGGUGAUCUACCCAUGUCCAGGGUGAAGUUCAGGUAACACUGAAUGGAGGCCCGAACCCACGCACGUUGAAAAGUGCGGGGAUGAGGUGUGGGUAGCGGAGAAAUUCCAAUCGAACCUGGAGAUAGCUGGUUCUCCCCGAAAUAGCUUUAGGGCUAGCCUUAAGUGUAAGAGUCUUGGAGGUAGAGCACUGAUUGGACUAGGGGUCCUCAUCGGAUUACCGAAUUCAGUCAAACUCCGAAUGCCAAUGACUUAUCCUUAGGAGUCAGACUGCGAGUGAUAAGAUCCGUAGUCAAAAGGGAAACAGCCCAGACCGCCAGCUAAGGUCCCAAAGUGUGUAUUAAGUGGAAAAGGAUGUGGAGUUGCUUAGACAACUAGGAUGUUGGCUUAGAAGCAGCCACCAUUUAAAGAGUGCGUAAUAGCUCACUAGUCGAGUGACUCUGCGCCGAAAAUGUACCGGGGCUAAAUACACCACCGAAGCUGCGGAUUGAUACCAAUGGUAUCAGUGGUAGGGGAGCGUUCUAAGGACAGUGAAGUCAGACCGGAAGGACUGGUGGAGUGCUUAGAAGUGAGAAUGCCGGUAUGAGUAGCGAAAGACGGGUGAGAAUCCCGUCCACCGAAUGCCUAAGGUUUCCUGAGGAAGGCUCGUCCGCUCAGGGUUAGUCAGGACCUAAGCCGAGGCCGACAGGCGUAGGCGAUGGACAACAGGUUGAUAUUCCUGUACCACCUCUUUAUCGUUUGAGCAAUGGAGGGACGCAGAAGGAUAGAAGAAGCGUGCGAUUGGUUGUGCACGUCCAAGCAGUUAGGCUGAUAAGUAGGCAAAUCCGCUUAUCGUGAAGGCUGAGCUGUGAUGGGGAAGCUCCUUAUGGAGCGAAGUCUUUGAUUCCCCGCUGCCAAGAAAAGCUUCUAGCGAGAUAAAAGGUGCCUGUACCGCAAACCGACACAGGUAGGCGAGGAGAGAAUCCUAAGGUGUGCGAGAGAACUCUGGUUAAGGAACUCGGCAAAAUGACCCCGUAACUUCGGGAGAAGGGGUGCUUUCUUAACGGAAAGCCGCAGUGAAUAGGCCCAAGCGACUGUUUAGCAAAAACACAGCUCUCUGCGAAGCCGUAAGGCGAAGUAUAGGGGGUGACACCUGCCCGGUGCUGGAAGGUUAAGGAGAGGGGUUAGCGUAAGCGAAGCUCUGAACUGAAGCCCCAGUAAACGGCGGCCGUAACUAUAACGGUCCUAAGGUAGCGAAAUUCCUUGUCGGGUAAGUUCCGACCCGCACGAAAGGUGUAACGAUUUGGGCACUGUCUCAACCAGAGACUCGGUGAAAUUAUAGUACCUGUGAAGAUGCAGGUUACCCGCGACAGGACGGAAAGACCCCGUGGAGCUUUACUGUAGCCUGAUAUUGAAUUUUGGUACAGUUUGUACAGGAUAGGCGGGAGCCUUUGAAACCGGAGCGCUAGCUUCGGUGGAGGCGCUGGUGGGAUACCGCCCUGACUGUAUUGAAAUUCUAACCUACGGGUCUUAUCGACCCGGGAGACAGUGUCAGGUGGGCAGUUUGACUGGGGCGGUCGCCUCCUAAAGUGUAACGGAGGCGCCCAAAGGUUCCCUCAGAAUGGUUGGAAAUCAUUCGUAGAGUGCAAAGGCAUAAGGGAGCUUGACUGCGAGACCUACAAGUCGAGCAGGGACGAAAGUCGGGCUUAGUGAUCCGGUGGUUCCGCAUGGAAGGGCCAUCGCUCAACGGAUAAAAGCUACCCCGGGGAUAACAGGCUUAUCUCCCCCAAGAGUCCACAUCGACGGGGAGGUUUGGCACCUCGAUGUCGGCUCAUCGCAUCCUGGGGCUGUAGUCGGUCCCAAGGGUUGGGCUGUUCGCCCAUUAAAGCGGUACGCGAGCUGGGUUCAGAACGUCGUGAGACAGUUCGGUCCCUAUCCGUCGUGGGCGUAGGAAAUUUGAGAGGAGCUGUCCUUAGUACGAGAGGACCGGGAUGGACGCACCGCUGGUGUACCAGUUGUUCUGCCAAGGGCAUAGCUGGGUAGCUAUGUGCGGAAGGGAUAAGUGCUGAAAGCAUCUAAGCAUGAAGCCCCCCUCAAGAUGAGAUUUCCCAUAGCGUAAGCUAGUAAGAUCCCUGAAAGAUGAUCAGGUUGAUAGGUUCGAGGUGGAAGCAUGGUGACAUGUGGAGCUGACGAAUACUAAUAGAUCGAGGACUUAACCAUAUA
rnacentral:rRNA from 1 species